UCUUCUAUAUAUAUUAUGUCCCUUCUCCUUUUCUUUCUACUUCUUCUUCUUCCUAUUUUCCAAAAGCUGCAGCACAUACACUUUUUCUAUUUUCUUCCCACCACCAACAUAUAUCAAUUUUAUCUCCAUUCACCUCACAAAAUAUGUAUCCUCACGCUGCUCUCUGUCUCUCGGACUCACGAUUUCUUCUCCCAUCAUCACCAAUAUUUUCUUCUUCUUUCAUUUCCUUUGCUGAAGCACCCAAACCAUUCCUUUUCUUCUUCGUCUCAUUCAUUUUCCCUCAUGGCAGCACCUUCUUCUCCAUGAGACAAGCCUUACCACGAUGUAAGCUUCUCCUUCUUGCAACCAACACCACCACCGUGAGAGCCACUAACAGCCGCUGUCAAACAGCCACCACGAGACCACCACUCCUCCUCCUCAUGACCGCAACAACCAUGAGGAAUCCAGCCCCCAUCGUCCCUCCUUCUCCUUCACGCACAAGCCACAAAGAAGCCAUCACAAAGCUUCUUCUUCUUUUCUCCAAGGAAUCACCACCAUGGAUCAUUUUUCUCCACCCAAAACAAAGCACCAGCCAUCACCGCAAGCUUCUUUCUCCAUGGCCAAAAGCACCACAACCAUCUCCAUGGAAGCAACGAAGACAACGUGAAACAGAACCAACGACGCCGUCGACAUCGCAAACUUCGACCUUUGAUUCCGGUGUCAUCGGACCUCCGUUCAUAGCAAGGUUAAUACUGUUGAGAUCCUUGCGACGUGCACAACAAAACCCAUGUUCCGAAUCGUCGUUCCGUCGUCGUCGAACGCCGCCGCUGCCGCCUUCGGGAGCUCUUUCCGGUCAACUCCGGCGACCGAAGGAAAAGCAGAGGAUACUGCUACGAUCCUUGCCGUGAGAAGAGCAAAACCCUAUCUUCAAUUUCGUAUUUGGGUCAUUUUAUUCGACGACCCCGAUAACCACCGUCGACCUUCGGCUGAACUUUCUGGGCAAACCGUCGACUCUUUGGGGAAACGGACAGCGCCGUUGAGUUUCUGGCCGCGAAAGGAUGAACGAACAACCUUCCUUUGUGUCUCCGGCGACAGUUCCUCCGUCAACCCCGUGAGCGGCAACUUUCUCUGGCGACUCUUCGCCGACAAGUUUCAGAAACUUGAUUUUCGUACGAUGAACGGAAGCACCCUGCAUCGAAGCUACACAAUGGAAGGAAUCGAGCCGACGCAUGCAAACAAAGAUGUAAUCGUAUCGGAGUUGCACCUUAGUAUGGAAAUUGGCUAAGAUGUCUUUGGCGGACUGGUUCACGAUGGUCCACCCUUCGGGGGGACUAGAUACGAGAUGAUGGAUCAGGAUGACUCCGGCGCGUGGGUGGUCGACCCCGCUAGCCAUCGAGCGACGUACUCGGGGAGGAUCAUGGAGAAUCGUGUCGACAGCUUAGGACACUUGACGGAAGGAGUGCUGAGGACGGUGUACAUAGACUUGGUCGUUCUGGAUUCAGAUUCGGACGACGAUCACGCUAGCACGUAGUUCUGAGCGCUGGUGUGAGCUCCUCGAGAUAGGAUUAGUGUAGGAGUAGAGUCGUAGCUCUGACCGUCAUUGUUUAUUUUGGGAACAGGGUAGUUUCCCGCUAUAGCUUUUUGUGUGGUUUCUCUACGGGAAUCACAGAGAGUUGGUUGGGUUAGGAGGUCUUGUUUUAGGCCAUCUGGGCUGACUUAUUCUCAUUUUUGAGGUUUGUGUUGCGGACACUUAACCUUUACUUUUGGUCUGUACCUUUUUGCCUACGGGCGUUACCUUCUGUUACUUCCCGUCACUGGAGGUUUACUCGUGACGUGGUUUGCUACUUACAGCGGGGGCUGUAUUUAUAUUAUAUAUUAGUUCUGUUAUCUUC